CUUGAAACCCAAAGGACUUGACGGUGCCCCACCCCCCCUAGAGGAGCCUGUUCUAUAAUCGAUAAUCCCCGCUACACCUCACCACUACUUGUAUUUUCAGCCUGUAUACCGCCGUCGUAAGCUUACCAUGUGAACGCCCCCACAGUAAGCCUAAUGGGACCCCCCCCCCCCCCCCCCCCCCACGUCAGGUCAAGGUGCAGCCCACGUAGUGGGGGUAAUGGGCUACAAUUUCUAUCCUAGAACAUAGAAAGGUUGCAUGAAAUAACAACCACGAAGGCGGAUUUAGUAGUAAGAGGAGAACCCCCCCCCAUACCUAAUCCAAUAUCGCACCCUAGAAGAGGCAAGUCGUAACAUGGUAAGCGUACUGGAAAGUGUGCUUGGAAUAA
rnacentral:rRNA from 1 species